rnacentral:sRNA from 1 species
GCGCGAGUAAUUUCCAGCCCAUGACUUUCCCUGCAUAUCGUUUCCAGCCAAGCAUUAUUACCGCCAUUCCUUAUUGGCGGGCUUGCUGACGACUGCACCCAACCCGCCCUGGAGGCGGGUUUU